rnacentral:lncRNA from 1 species
CCCGGGGUCCUUUGGCCAGUGGAGUCCAGGGCAGGUGCUCUGUUAGCCUGGGACACAAACACACACCCAUGCUGGUGUUAGGACUGCAUAGUAUGGAGGUUUGGCAAUAGGGACACUACCAUUGUCAUAAUUUCUCUGUAAAUGUAAACUGGGUCUUCAAAAGUCACCUCUCAAGCCGGGGGUGGAGAGGUGUGCACGCUUGUAAUCUCAGCAGUCAGGAGGAUGGCAAGUUUGAGCCCAGCCUGGGAUACACAGUAAGACCUUGUUUAAAAACAAAAACUUUCUUUUUAAAGAUGAAAGUUUCUACAAUGAAAUAGCUCAUUUUCAUUCUGGUCUCCUUGACAGGUCCCUUUAUCAGGGACAACUGAUGUUACAAGGUUUGUGUAUAUUUUUCUGGGGGAAUUCUAUUUUUUUUUUUUGGUACCAGGGAUUGAACUUGGGUCCUUGUGCUUGCGCAGCAGGCAGCAAAACCACUGAAAUCCCCGGGUCAAGGAGGAAUUCUAUUUGAAUACAAAAAUUUAUAAACCUUCAGAGCCCUCCCUCCCUUUGUUGUACACAACAGACAGUGCUGUGCACACUGCAGCUGCUUGGCUGGCCUUGAACUCUGACCCUCCUGCCUCAGCCUCCCCAGCGCUGACAUGACAGGCAUGUGCCACCACAGCUGGCUCAGACUUUGUAAUUGUUGCUCAUUUGGAUAAUGGCAUCUAUUCUGGUUUACAUUUGAAUUUUUCCAACUGCUAAGGAUGUGGGACACCUCUUACGGUUUAGCAGCCAUCUAGAUUUCGUCUUCGGUGAAGCACUUGUCCUAAGGUUUUGCCAGCCCCUUGUCUUUGCUUCAUAGCAGCUUUGUAUAUUGAGAACUGGCCCCAAGGUUCAUGUCUGCAGAUGUCUCUGGCACUAUCCGCCUUGCCCUUUUGCCCAGGCCCACCCCCAAGCUGGGGAUUGGGCUGGGACUUUGCACUGAGCUAUGGCCCGAGCUGCUCUUGAUAGUCUUAGCCUCGUCCAGGCUGACCUCAAACUUGGAAUCCUCCUGCUUUGGCCUCCCCAGUAGCUAGGAUGAUAGAAGUGUGUUACUGUGCCCAACUUCAAUUAUGUGUCACUCUGUUUCCCGUUCCCUGGAGAUAUUUUCAAGUUUACAUUUUUGUUGUUCUGAGUCUUUGUAGUCCAGCCCAGCUUCAAGCUCUGAUCCUCCUGCCUCAGCCUCCUGUGUGCUGAUUAUGGGAUAUGCCACCACGCCUGCUGACCAUGCAUGCCAUCUGCACUCAACACUCGGCACGUGCAGCUCACCUAUUCUUACCUACAACCCUGACACCCGAGAUGUGAAUCUCAUCCUACUCCAACCCAGUUCUCAC